rnacentral:rRNA from 1 species
CCUACGGGAGGCAGCAGUCGAGAAUCAUUCACAAUGGGGGAAACCCUGAUGGUGCGACGCCGCGUGGGGGAAUGAAGGUCUUCGGAUUGUAAACCCCUGUCAUGUGGGAGCAAAUUAAAAAGAUAGUACCACAAGAGAAAGAGACGGCUAACUCUGUGCCAGCCGCCGCGGUAAUACAGAGGUCUCAAGCGUUGUCAGGAAUCACUGGGCGUAAAGCGUGCGUAGGCUGUUUCGUAAGUCGGGUGUGAAAGGCGCGGGCUCAACCCGCGGACGGCACAUGAUACUGGGAGGCUAGAGUAAUGGAGGGGGAAGCAGAAGUCGCGGUGUAGCAGUGAAAUGCGUAGAGAUCGAGAGGAACACUCGUGGCGAAGGCGGGUUCCUGGACAUUAACUGACGCUGAGGUGCGAAGGCCAGGGGAGCGAAAGGGAUUAGAUACCCUGGUAGUC